ACCCGCUGAACUUAAGCAUAUCAAUAAGCGGAGGAAAAGAAACCAACAGGGAUUACCUCAGUAACGGCGAGUGAAGCGGUAACAGCUCAAAUUUGAAAUCUGGGUCUUUCAGGCUCCGAGUUGUAAUUUGUAGAAGAUGCUUCGGGUGCGGCUCCGGUCUAAGUUCCUUGGAACAGGACGUCAUAGAGGGUGAGAAUCCCGUAUGUGAUCGGUUGCCUGCGCCCGUGUGAAGCUCUUUCGACGAGUCGAGUUGUUUGGGAAUGCAGCUCAAAAUGGGUGGUAAAUUUCAUCUAAAGCUAAAUAUUGGCCAGAGACCGAUAGCGCACAAGUAGAGUGAUCGAAAGAUGAAAAGCACUUUGGAAAGAGAGUUAAACAGUACGUGAAAUUGUUGAAAGGGAAGCGCUUGCAACCAGACUUGCGCGUUGCCGAUCAUCCGGGGUUCUCCCCGGUGCACUCGGCUUCGCUCAGGCCAGCAUCGGUUUUGGUGGUGGGAUAAAGGCCUUGGGAAUGUAGCUCCUCUCGGGGAGUGUUAUAGCCCUCGGUGCAAUGCCGCCUACCGGGACCGAGGACCGCGCUUCGGCUAGGAUGCUGGCGUAAUGGUUGUAAGCGACCCGUCUUGAAACACGG
rnacentral:rRNA from 1 species